CGAGCGGGCAUCAGAUCUGCACUGAAUAAAUGGAUGCAUAUAUUUGUUGGUGUUUUCCAUCUCAUUAUGGCCACGACUUAGUAUUUUUAAAAUAAUCAUUUUGCCCAAACAUUAACCAAUAUGUUGCAACAGAGCAGAGGAACAGUCGGCAACAGGGCAUGCUUUCGCGAAUUUCUCAUCUUCUGGAAGUGAAAGGGCUGUUUCUAUUUUUAGUUUUCUCCCUGGAGGAUGGGCUCCUGGUCUGGGUGCUCUCCCCGUCUGCCUCGAGGGGAGCAGAGCAGAGCCUCCGGACCCUUCCCCAGCAUCCACACCCCUCGUUCACAGCCAUCCGAGAGGGGGAAAAGCCUCUCCCUUGACGGCUUUGAGCACUCUCCUGGCCUGAGACAGAAGCCUGUGACCUGGGCAGGCAGGAAAUGGGACCCCUCCCAGCUCCAGUCCCGCAGAUUCAGUCCACCCGGGCCUCAGGGCCUCCUCUCAGCACCCGGGAGCCCGACAGGUGGAGCAUUAAGCAGAGGCUGUCACGAGGGUCAGCAGGGAAGCCGCCACAACUGGCCAUCUGCCCAGAUCUCUUGACUUCAGCACGUGGAUGACGCCGCGUGCUGGAUGAGCUAUGGUGCUGUAGAAUCACAGCAUGCGUCGUGGCCCAGCGGCGUCCGGGAGGAGCUUGCCCUCGACCACAGGGCCCAAGACUGAGAAUCUGGACUCCUCUGCAGUUUUACUUCAAAGACAUACAAGCCUGCUCUUCGUUGCUCUUAAUUUACCAGUGCUUGCCUUGAAGUCAUCAAAAGGAAAGAGGACUGCCCACCCACCCACCCCCUGGGCCCCUCCUGGAGGGUUCCUGCAGCUCUGCCUCCUCUGGAUAAGAGCCCCGAUGGCCUUCUGGCCCACGAGUGCGUUGGCUGCACACUCUCCCCACUCCCACUCUUUGGGAAAUGCCUUUGUCCCCCUUCGUUGGGUCCAUUUGUCUUGGGGUGGCAGGAUUUAUUCUCAGCUCUGGACACAUCGUUCCUUGUCCUCUGACAGCUUUGUUCCGCAUGAGAAAUCCAUGCUGCUCCUUCUCGGGGCUCUCCUGUGCAUGAUGGAUAUUUUUCUCCUGAUGGUUUUUAGAUUUUUCUUUAUCUAUGGUUUUCAUGAAUUCAACUAUGAUGUGCCUAGAUGUAAUUUUAUUUGAAUUUAUUAUAUUUGGCAUUUAUUAAGUUUCUUAAAUUUGUGGGUUUUUUCCCCAUCAAAUUUGAUAAAUUCCCAGUGACUAUAUCUUA